AUUAAUUCUUUAAAAUUAUCAAAUUAUACAUAACAUAAUUUGCCAUUUUUUCCAUUUUUUUCCAGACAGAAGUAACUUCUAAAACAUUGCUAGGGAAACGCUCUGACAUCUUCCGUAGAGGUGAAAAAGCACAGGUCUGACUCAGGUAGCUGCGAGUUCAAGUUCAGCCGCAGGCUCUUCCCCAAGGUGCUGGUCUUCGCAGGAACCCCUUGCAGGCAGCUGCAAAGAGCAGCACGGCGCGCACACACAGGGUCCGGCUGGCGUCUGGCCAGAGCAAGGGAACAGUAAGUGUGUCCUGGAGGCGCUCGCCAUGCACUCACACGCCAUCUGUGGAUUCGGAAGUGACCUCCCCCUCGGUUGAUGAGGGUUCUCUGCGUCUGGAGAACACAGGACGUCCACAGGAAAGUUCUCCCUCCUGCACUCCCGGCUGGCUCUGAAAAUUAUGAACUCUCUUUUCCUUAAAAUAAAGGCUCUAAAAUUGUGUGAUUCCACCUCCCUGAGGCUAAGCGAAAGAGCCGCGUCUGCCCCUGUCCUUCCCGGGGGCUGGCAGGGAGUGGGUGCCCGGCGGUGACUCAGCCCUGCAGCCUCCCAGCCCUUCCCCGUAUGCGGGCAGGUGAUGCGGACGCCUCCGACCCUCGUGGGGUUUGUGGAGAGCGUUGAUCAGCGCUGCCGUCAGAACAGGACCUGUGCGAGGCCUCGCAGAUGCCGGGAGCCGGGCGGUGCUCUCGGUGCUUCUCAUCAAAUCCACUGGCUCUUCGAGAGGAAGCACAUGUCACAGCCCAGCUCAAACAAGAAGCAAGAAAAUCACUCUUCAUUUUGGAAUUGUAAAAUAAAG
rnacentral:lncRNA from 1 species